UACGUAGGGGGCAAGCGUUGUCCGGAUUUAUUGGGCGUAAAGAGCGUGUAGGCGGCCAGGUAGGUCAGCUGUGAAAACUCGAGGCUUAACCUCGAGACGCCGGCUGAAACCCUCUGGCUAGAGUCCGGAAGAGGAGAGCGGAAUUCCUGGUGUAGCGGUGAAAUGCGCAGAUAUCAGGAGGAACACCCAUAGCGAAGGCAGCUUGCUGGGACGUUACUGACGCUAAGGCGCGAAAGCGUGGGGAGCGAACAGG
rnacentral:rRNA from 1 species